rnacentral:rRNA from 1 species
AGGGUGUAAACGCUGCAGACUUGGUGUUGGAAGUCCUUUGGGGGCAUUCAGUGCCGGAGAGAAGUUGUUAAGUCUGCUACUUGGGGAGUACGUCCGCAAGGAUGAAACUUAAAGGAAUUGGCGGGGGAGCACCGCAACGGGGGGAGCGUGCGGUUUAAUUGGACUCAACGCCGGGAAGCUCACCGGAUAAGACAGCGGAAUGAUUGCCAGGCUGAAGACUCUGCAUGACUAGCUGAGAGGAGGUGCAUGGCGUAGAC